rnacentral:tmRNA from 2 species
GGGGGCGAUUAGGAUUCGACGACGGUUACAAAACCUGAGGUGCAUGUCGAGCGCGUAGCUGCUCUCGUAAAACCAAUAGCUACAAACAUUUAGUUGCAAACGAAGACAACUACCAAGGAGCUCUGGCAGCUUAAACCCUGCCUCCUCCCGAUCACUCUGGCUUGCCUGUUGGCUGGUACUGAUCGCAAAUGCAAACGGGAUCGCCAUGAAGUAUGCCUGAGGCGGAUUGGUUAAAACUUUUCAGGAUCGCGUAGUGUCACCCUGACCGUUGGGUCGUUCUGCGUUAACCUAAAGACGGAAUCUAAGCAUGUAGAGCCAAAGGCUGCGAAUCGGCGGACGCGGGUUCAAAUCCCGCCGCCUCCACCA